rnacentral:rRNA from 1 species
UACGAGGGGAGCAAGCGUUGUUCGGAUUUACUGGGCGUAAAGGAGCGCUGAGAGCGGUCGUGACAAGUCACUUGUGAAAUCUCCGGGCUUAACUCGGAACGGUCAAGUGAUACUGUCGGACUAGAGUACAGAAGGGGCAACUGGAAUUCUCGGUGUAGCGGUGAAAUGCGUAGAUAUCGAGAGGAACACCUGCGGCGAAGGCGGGUUGCUGGGCUGAUACUGACGCUGAGGCGCGGAAAGCCAGGGGAGCGAACGGG